GACGAACGCUGGCGGCGUGCUUAACACAUGCAAGUCGAACGGAAAGGCCCUGCUUUUUUGGUGUGCUCGAGUGGCGAACGGGUGAGUAACACGUGAGUAACCUGCCCUUGACUUUGGGAUAACUUCAGGAAACUGGGGCUAAUACCGGAUAGGAGCUCCUGCUGCAUUGUGGGGGUUGGAAAGUUUCGGCGGUUGGGGAUGGACUCGCGGCUUAUCAGCUUGUUGGUGGGGUAGUGGCUUACCAAGGCUUUGACGGGUAGCCGGCCUGAGAGGGUGACCGGCCACAUUGGGACUGAGAUACGGCCCAGACUCCUACGGGAGGCAGCAGUGGGGAAUAUUGCACAAUGGGCGGAAGCCUGAUGCAGCAACGCCGCGUGCGGGAUGACGGCCUUCGGGUUGUAAACCGCUUUCGCCUGUGACGAAGCGUGAGUGACGGUAAUGGGUAAAGAAGCACCGGCUAACUACGUG
rnacentral:rRNA from 1 species